rnacentral:rRNA from 1 species
GAUGAACGCUGGCGGCGUGCUUAACACAUGCAAGUCGAACGGGGAUUAUUUUGACAGAGACUUCGGUUGAAGUCGUUAUAAUCCUAGUGGCGGACGGGUGAGUAACGCGUGGGUAACCUGCCUCACACUGGGGGAUAACAGUCAGAAAUGACUGCUAAUACCGCAUAAGCGCACGGGAUUGCAUGAUCCAGUGUGAAAAACUCCGGUGGUGUGAGAUGGACCCGCGUCUGAUUAGCUGGUUGGUGAGGUAACGGCUCACCAAGGCGACGAUCAGUAGCCGACCUGAGAGGGUGACCGGCCACAUUGGGACUGAGACACGGCCCAAACUCCUACGGGAGGCAGCAGUGGGGAAUAUUGCACAAUGGGGGAAACCCUGAUGCAGCGACGCCGCGUGAGUGAAGAAGUAUUUCGGUAUGUAAAGCUCUAUCAGCAGGGAAGAGAAUGACGGUACCUGACUAAGAAGCCCCGGCUAACUACGUGCCAGCAGCCGCGGUAAUACGUAGGGGGCAAGCGUUAUCCGGAUUUACUGGGUGUAAAGGGAGCGUAGACGGCUUAGCAAGUCUGAAGUGAAAGCCCGGGGCUCAACCCCGGGACUGCUUUGGAAACUGUUAAGCUGGAGUGCUGGAGAGGUAAGCGGAAUUCCUAGUGUAGCGGUGAAAUGCGUAGAUAUUAGGAGGAACACCAGUGGCGAAGGCGGCUUACUGGACAGUAACUGACGUUGAGGCUCGAAAGCGUGGGGAGCAAACAG